AUUGAACGCUGGCGGCAGGCGUAACACAUGCAAGUCGAGCGAGCGGCGGACGGGUGAGUAAUGUCUGGGAAACUGCCUGAUGGAGGGGGAUGACUACUGGAAAAGGUAGCUAAUAACGCAUACGACCCGAAUGGCACAGAAGGGAUUAGCUCGGAGGGGGGGUAAUGGCUCACCUAGGCGACGAACCCGAGCGGGGCUGAGAGGAAGACCGGCCACACUGGAACUGGUACACGGGCCAGACUCCUACGGGGGGCGGCAGUGGGGAAUAUUGCACAAUGGGCGCAAGCCUUAUGCAGCCAUGCCGCGUGUGUGAAGAAGGCCUUCGGUUUGUAAAGCACUUUCAGCGAGGAGGCGUUACUCGCAGAAGAAGCACCGGCUAACUCCGUGCCAGCAGCCGCGGUAAUUC
rnacentral:rRNA from 1 species